ACGAGAAAUCAAACAAAGGAAAGUUGGAAGAACUACCCACUUCAAGUCACACUGUGGAUUCAGAAAAGGCUGCUGAGAGACUGCCAAGUAAAAGGAAAUAACUGGCUGCAAAGAUCUCAGACAAAGACACUUAUUUUGGGCUUAUUAUUCACUCCAUUAGGGAUCCAGGUUGAAGGAAUGCCCAGGGCUUUCAGAUAAUACAAUUCACAUCUGGAGAACAAUUCACUGUAGAAUUAAAGAUCUUGAUGAGUGAUCAGCAGUCUGCAUGUGAGAGCUGCCAAGAACCUAAUCCCUCUACAGAAAUGGUAAAAAUAAAAGUUAAUUUGGUGUGCGUUUUUUGGAAACUGGUUAAAUGAAGUGAUCAGAUUAACAAAGAAAAAAAAGGUGAGACCUAUGAGAAAGACAUAUUAUGGCUAUUCAAGGAAAUUUGUGGCAUCUUUGUAUGUAGAGAUCAUCACAUGGGCCUUAUGAACAAGCAUGAAUGGUUUUUGUUGUGUAAUGAUCUGGCAAGCUACUAUGAACUGUA